CCGAGUUUACAACUCCCAAACCCCUGUGAACAUACCACUUGUUGCCUCGGCGGAUCAGCCCGCUCCCGGUAAAACGGGACGGCCCGCCAGAGGACCCCUAAACUCUGUUUCUAGUAUGUAACUUCUGAGUAAAACCAUAAAUAAAUC
rnacentral:misc_RNA from 1 species